AGAAAUUUAGGUUUAACAAAACCAAGAGCCUUCAAAGUUCUAAACAUGAGUAACCACCCUCCUAAUUUCUG
rnacentral:tRNA from 1 species